rnacentral:rRNA from 1 species
UGAGGGAUCUUCGGCAAUGGGGGAAACCCUGACCGAGCGACGCCGCGUGCGGGACGAAGGCCUUCGGGUCGUAAACCGCUUUUCUUGGGGACGAGAAUGGACGGUACCCGAGGAAGAAGCCUCGGCUAACUACGUGCCAGCAGCCGCGGUAAUACGUAGGAGGCGAGCGUUGUCCGGAGUUACUGGGCGUAAAGGGUGCGUAGGCGGCCGCGCGCGUGGAGGGUGAAAUCUCUCGGCUUACCCGGGAGGGGGCUUUCCAGACGGCGUGGCUUGAGGGACGGAGAGGGGCGUGGAAUUCCGGGUGGAGCGGUGAAAUGCGUAGAGAUCCGGAGGAACACCGACGGCGUAGGCAGCGCCCUGGCCGUUUCCUGACGCUGAAGCACGAAAGCUGGGGGAGCAAACAGGAUUAGAUACCCCCGUAGUCC